GACGAACGCUGGCGGCGUGCUUAACACAUGCAAGUCGAGCGGGGUCCAUCCAGUAGCAAUACUGGUGAAGACCUAGCGGCGAACGGGUGAGUAACACGUGAGCAACCUGCCCCGAAGUCUGGGAUAACACCGGGAAACCGGUGCUAAUACCGGAUGUCCUCACCGAGUCACCUGGCUUGAUGAGGAAAGAUUUAUCGCUUCGGGAGGGGCUCGCGGCCUAUCAGCUUGUGGCGGGGUAACGGCCCACCAAGGCUUCGACGGGUAGCUGGUCUGAGAGGACGACCAGCCACACUGGGACUGAGACACGGCCCAGACUCCUACGGGAGGCAGCAGUGGGGAAUCUUGCGCAAUGGGCGAAAGCCUGACGCAGCAACGCCGCGUGGGGAUGAA
rnacentral:rRNA from 1 species